rnacentral:rRNA from 1 species
UACGUAGGGGGCAAGCGUUGUCCGGAAUUAUUGGGCGUAAAGAGCUCGUAGGCGGCCUGUCGCGUCGGAUGUGAAAACUCGGGGCUUAACCCCGAGCCGUGCAUUCGAUACGGGCAGGCUAGAGUUCGGCAGGGGAGACUGGAAUUCCUGGUGUAGCGGUGAAAUGCGCAGAUAUCAGGAGGAACACCGGUGGCGAAGGCGGGUCUCUGGACAGUUCCUGACGCUGAGGCACGAAGGCCAGGGGAGCAAACGGG